CGUUCUCUGGCUGGCGCCGGUCCGCGGCCGCGGCCUGAACGGUCACGAUUCCGAUCUGCUGUCGGAGCCGCGCUGGUUCCGCUUCCGCGAGGGCUACC
rnacentral:tRNA from 1 species